UUUAAAUCUAAAAAUGAUAAUAAAUUAUCCUAUAUUA
rnacentral:tRNA from 1 species